CCCACACAACUGUCUCCUCGACUUAAGAACUUGAGGAUUCUGAAGCUCCAAAACAUUCCUGAAGAAUGUGGUAUCACAUGGACAUUUUUCCGCCAGAGGCCGCACCUCUCUUGGAGCAGCUCCACAUUGAGGUGUCCAACCACCAAUGCUUACCCGUUCAUGAUGAGAUGGUAAGAAGACAUCUAAUUUCCAAGAAAAUCAGUAUCGAGUGGGAACCAUUUGAUUUCAAGCGAUAUAAUUUGGCCGUGUUCACCAUCUGUGGUUUCUAACCUGGGAGGAAAUUCAUGGGGUAUACAAGACGGGUCACGGAAGUGGCUGCGAAUUUGAAAGAAAUAUCUUUGUAUGAUGAAUUCUGACCGGAAUGCGGAUUACAAGAUAUCCCAAGACCAAGAAAGUGAGAGACUUCACACGGAAGGAAAUCAAUGAAGGGAGGCCGUCGCCUAUCAAAACCGUGCAGUUCUACGCGAGGCUAAAGUCUUUAUAGGAGAUGAACCGGUCAAAAUCAUUGGUUGAUCAUAUGGAGUCAUUUUUUCUUUACAUGAACUUUUAAAUAUCUCAUCCUAUGUUGUAAACAAUUAAAAGUUAGUUUUGGAUUA